UACGUAGGGGGCAAGCGUUAUCCGGAUUUACUGGGUGUAAAGGGAGCGCAGGCGGUAUGGCGAGUCAGAUGUGAAAACCCAGGGCCCAACCCUGGGACUGCAUUUGAAACUGCCAUACUGGAGUGCCGGAGAGGUAAGUGGAAUUCCUAGUGUAGCGGUGAAAUGCGUAGAUAUUAGGAGGAACACCAGUGGCGAAGGCGGCUUACCAGACUGCGACUGACGCUGAAGCACGAGAGCGUGGGUAGCGAACAGG
rnacentral:rRNA from 1 species